AAUCAACGCUGGCGGCGUGCCUCAGACAUGCAAGUCGAACGCGAAACCUUCCUUCGGGAGGGGAGUAGAGUGGCGCACGGGUGAGUAACACGUAGGUAAUUUGCCUUCGGGUGGGGAAGUAACAGCCGGAAACGGCUGCUAAUACCGCAUAAUGCAGCGGCUCGACAUCGAGACAGUUGUUAAAGCGGGGGAUUCGCAAGAACCUCGCGCCUGAAGAGAAGCCUGCGGCAGAUUAGCUAGUUGGUAGGGUAAUGGCCUACCAAGGCGACGAUCUGUAACCGGCCUGAGAGGGCGGUCGGUCACACUGACACUGACAUACGGGUCAGACUCCUACGGGAGCAGCAGUCGGGAAUUUUGGGCAAUGGGCGAAAGCCUGACCCAGCAACGCCGCGUGAAGGAU
rnacentral:rRNA from 1 species